rnacentral:rRNA from 1 species
CAGAUUUCAGAAUAUUGAAUUCUAAUAAAAGUUGGUGUGAAACAUUUUGUCUUUUUGGUUUGAACCAUUUUGUCUUUUUGGUUUGAACCAUUUUGAUGCGUUGGUUUGAACCAUUUUGUCUUCUUGGUUCGAAACAUUUUGAUGCGUUGGUUUGAAUAGUUUUGAAAAAUUCGAUUCCGGAGAGGGAGCCUGAGAAACGGCUACCACAUCCAAGGAAGGCAGCAGGCGCGGAAAUUACCCAAUCCCAAUACGGGGAGGUAGUGACAAUAUAUAACGAUACAGGGCCUUUUGGUCUUGUAAUUGGAAUAAGUACAAUUUAAUUACCUUAACGAGGAACAAUUGGAGGGCAAGUCUGGUGCCAGCAGCCGCGGUAAUUCCAGCUCCAAGAGCGUAUAUUAAAGUUGUUGCAGUUAAAAAGCUCGUAGUUGAAGUUUGGCGGUAACUAUUAAUUUAGUUACUGCCACCUCCCUUCCAGAGAGGUGUUACUUUGAGUAAAUGAAAGUGUUCAAAGCAGGCAACGCCUGAAUCUUAUAGCAUGGAAUAACAAAUUAAGAUGAUUUUUUAUUUGUUGGUUUCUAAAAAUCAUAAUGAUUAAUAGGAACGGUCGGGGACAUCAGUAUUCAAUAGUUAGAGGUGAAAUUCUUAGAUUUAUUGAAGACUAACUACUGCGAAAGCAUUUGUCAAGGACGUUUUCACUAAUCAAGAACGAAAGUUAGGGGUUCGAAGAUGAUCAGAUACCGUCGUAGUCUUAACCAUAAAGUAUGCCGACUAGGGAUCGGAUGUUGAUCAAAAUUUUGACACAUUAGGCACCUUACGAGAAAUCAAAGUUUUUGGGUUCUGGGGGGGAGUAUGGUCGCAAGGCUGAAACUUAAAGGAAUUGACGGAAGGGCACCACCAGGAGUGGAGCCUGCGGCUUAAUUUGACUCAACACGGGAAAUCUCACCAGUGUUUUUUUAAAACUAAACUACAAUAUUUUUCAAAAAUAUUCAAACCAGCGCAACAAAAUGUUUCGUACCCCUUUGCACAGUCUUUCAAACCAAAUGGACAGGUUGUUGUAUACAGGAUAUCAAGAAAACCAGUUCAGUACCGUCCGUUUUUCACCUUUAAUUGGUACUGCAAGACUUUUGUCCCAGAUGUAGUACCAUAUGAGGCAAUUCUCCAGAUUUAA